rnacentral:rRNA from 1 species
UUGACGUUACCCGCAAAAGAAGCACCGGCUAACUCCGUGCCAGCAGCCGNGGUAAUACGGAGGGUGCGAGCGUUAAUCGGAAUAACUGGGCGUAAAGGGCAUGUAGGCGGUAAGUUAAGUCAGAUGUGAAAUCCCCGAGCUUAACUUGGGAACGGCAUUUGAGACUGGCGGGCUAGAGUUUUGUAGAGGGGGGUAGAAUUCCAGGUGUAGCGGUGAAAUGCGUAGAGAUCUGGAGGAAUACCGGUGGCGAAGGCGGCCCCCUGGACAAGGACUGACGCUGAGGUGCGAAAGCGUGGGUAGCAAACAGGAUUAGAUACCCUGGUAGUCCACGCUGUAAACGAUGUCGAUUUGGAGGUUGUGGCCUAGUGUUAUGGCGUCCGAAGCUAACGCGAUAAAUCGACCGCCUGGGGAGUACGGCCGCAAGGUUAAAACUCAAAUGAAUUGACGGGGGCCCGCACAAGCGGUGGAGCAUGUGGUUUAAUUCGAUGCAACGCGAAGAACCUUACCUACUCUUGACAUCCACGGAAUUGAGCAGAGAUGCUUAAGUGCCUUCGGGAGCCGUGAGACAGGUGCUGCAUGGCUGUCGUCAGCUCGUGUUGUGAAAUGUUGGGUUAAGUCCCGCAACGAGCGCAACCCUUGUCCUUUGUUGCCAGCGCGUGAUGGCGGGAACUCAAAGGAGACUGCCGGUGAUAAACCGGAGGAAGGUGGGGAUGACGUCAAGUCAUCAUGGCCCUUACGAGUAGGGCUAC